AUAACUGUAUGAUCCGGAGCAUAUGUACCAGUAGUCGUGACACCUAUUGUUCUAUCCGUUGAUAAAAGUUUUUAUAAAUGAACGAACAAUCGAUGUGACUACUGGUUCAUAUCCGGUGACUGGUGUCACUAACCUAAGUUUGAAGAAAUCGUGAAAUCAAUACGAAAACAGUUCCUACAUUCCACCUUGUUCCAUUGGUGGUAAACAGGUAUGGCCGCGCUUAUCAAUUGAAUUUUUCUUUAUUCCAUGCAAUGACGAGCGACGAGUGACCGAAACGGCGACAGUAAUAGUUGUUAGUAUUUGUCGUCCAGUACUAGUUCAAUUAUUCAAAUUUUUAAUGGAUCUCUAGCAGCCAUUUAUUUAAAUUAAAAAAAAAAUGAGCACGCAACACAGCUAACCACAAUUCGUCGAAUUGUUUUUUGCUAUGAAAAAUUUGAUAAAUAAAAUUCGUUUCCAAUGAACGACGAUGGUUAUUUAAUGAAGCAAAAUGAAAUUUAAUCUCAAAAUAAGGAGUUACACGCAAUAACGAUCUCAAAUCCCUUUUUGUUUGUUUAUUUAUUUACGUGAGCGAAACAAAAUUGAACAACGUGAUGUGUACAUAAUUAACUACUCAUACUAAUGGGAAACUCUUGGAAAACACAGAAACGUCAUUAAAUGUUCGACCAUCAUUGACAGCUUAUUGUUCUUUCUUCGACGCUUGCACUUUGUAUUUACAUCGGAAGAGUCACUUCCACUUUUGCAAUUUUCUUUUUACAUGGGAAGACGCGAUGGAAAAACUCUUUGUUAAAUUCAAACGAAGAGAAGAAGAAUAAUUUACUCGCAUAAGCAACUUCAAUUAAAUGAUGCGCAAAUAUUUAACUGUAAAAUUAAAAAAUCUGUAAAAAAAAACAGUGUACACGGGUGAACACUCUCACCCCACACACAAACACAAAAUUUUUAAAAACAAAAAACCAGAAACAUUUUUGUAGUAUUUUUGUAAAGUGUAAAUUAUUAUCUAUUGAGAGGUGAAACAAAUGAACGAAGAAGAAGAGAGAGAGAGAGAGAGAGAGAAAUUUUGUUUAAAGAAAUUACUCGAAAAAUUGAAGCGCGUGUUGAACAUUAAUUGAAUUAUACAUGAGACCCUUCUACUAUAUAAUUAUGAUAUAAAAAGAAAGAAA